rnacentral:rRNA from 1 species
AGUGAACGCUGGCGGUAGGCCUAACACAUGCAAGUCGAACGGCAGCACAGUAAGAGCUUGCUCUUACGGGUGGCGAGUGGCGGACGGGUGAGGAAUACAUCGGAAUCUACUUUUUCGUGGGGGAUAACGUAGGGAAACUUACGCUAAUACCGCAUACGACCUACGGGUGAAAGCAGGGGAUCUUCGGACCUUGCGCGAUUGGAUGAGCCGAUGUCGGAUUAGCUAGUUGGCGGGGUAAAGGCCCACCAAGGCGACGAUCCGUAGCUGGUCUGAGAGGAUGAUCAGCCACACUGGAACUGAGACACGGUCCAGACUCCUACGGGAGGCAGCAGUGGGGAAUAUUGGACAAUGGGCGCAAGCCUGAUCCAGCCAUACCGCGUGGGUGAAGAAGGCCUUCGGGUUGUAAAGCCCUUUUGUUGGGAAAGAAAAGCAGCAGGUUAAUACCCCGCUGUUCUGACGGGACCCAAAGAAUAAGCACCGGCUAACUUCGU